CUUUCCUUUUUACAUGUAGAUGUCUUCACCAAUCAAACCAAGAAGGAUUUAGAUGGCAGUGUUACGGGACGUGUAGUACUCCCUUCUGAAGAGACUUCUGUGACUUUUGAUAGAACUGCUGACUAUUCUAGAACCAGUACUGGCAAGGCCAUCAAAAAACAAGAUGUUCUCAGCAAUCAAAAUAAGGAAAAUUCAGUUGGUAGUGUGAUGAGUGAUGGAACUUAAACUAACAGUGAAUGCUAUUUUCCACUCUACCCCUAAACCUCAUAAGACUUCUGUCACUUUUAAUAGAAUUGCUGGCUAUUUUAGCACCAGUACUAGCAGGACCAACACUUUACAAGAUGUAUGUCCUCACCAAUCAAACCAAGAAGAAUUUAGAUAGCAGUGUUACGGAACGUGCAGUUUUCCCUUAUUUGCCUGCACCUGACGACACUUUUUUCUUCACAUAGGUUUGCUGAUUAUUUGCACACCCUUGAAAUUGACCGGGGUGGAGUAAUUUCAAAUUUCAAUUGGUAACCCACAAACAGGGCAUGAUUCUACUGUAGUGUUUCCUGCAGUCUGUAGACCAACCUACUGACAGCUCUCAAUUUUGGUAGCAAAUGCUUAGGCUUUAUCAGGUUAAUGAGUUUAACAGUUAACAGUUUGACAGUUCCAUUUUUUCAUGAUAGUUGGGUAUAUAACCAUGAUUUUUACAUUUAAAUGCGAAAAUCUAUGGAAUGUAAACACAUUUUGAUAUAAAGAUCAAAGUUAUAUUCCCAAAUAUCAUGCAAAAUGGAAUUGUUAAACUCUGUCAACUCUUAAACUGUUAAACUCCUUCCAUUGUGCAUAUUUUGAAAUAUAGCCACGAUUUUCACAUUUAAAUGUGUUUA